UAUGGCAGACUUAGUGCAAUGGAUUUAAAUUCCUUUUAUAAAGAUCAUUUCUUUUAUUAAAA
rnacentral:tRNA from 1 species